CCUACGGGAGGCAGCAGUGGGGAAUUUUGGACAAUGGACGCAAGUCUGAUCCAGCCAUGCCGCGUGCGGGAAGAAGGCCUUCGGGUUGUAAACCGCUUUUGUCAGGGAAGAAAAGUUUGGGGCUAAUAACUCCGGACGAUGACGGUACCUGAAGAAUAAGCACCGGCUAACUACGUGCCAGCAGCCGCGGUAAUACGUAGGGUGCAAGCGUUAAUCGGAAUUACUGGGCGUAAAGCGUGCGCAGGCGGUUCUAUAAGACAGAUGUGAAAUCCCCGGGCUCAACCUGGGAACUGCAUUUGUGACUGUAGAGCUGGAGUACGGCAGAGGGGGAUGGAAUUCCGCGUGUAGCAGUGAAAUGCGUAGAUAUGCGGAGGAACACCGAUGGCGAAGGCAAUCCCCUGGGCCUGUACUGACGCUCAUGCACGAAAGCGUGGGGAGCAAACAGGAUUAGAUACCCUGGUAGUCCACGCCCUAAACGAUGUCAACUGGUUGUUGGGAAGGUUCCUUCUCAGUAACGUAGCUAACGCGUGAAGUUGACCGCCGNGGGAGGUACGGCCGGCGAGGUUAAGGUAAACGUUAAAGGUUAAAGUUAGUACGGCGUUGAGACGUUGCCGACGGACGACGACGAGGGAGGAGG
rnacentral:rRNA from 1 species